rnacentral:lncRNA from 1 species
GGAAGAUAUAUCUGGUGCCAUCACAGAUGUUUUGGCUGCUGAAUUUACAUCUUUUCCUUCUACGUUCCACCUUCAUGUCCCAUUUGUCUUCUAUCUGAGGUAAAUUGACCUACUGGCUAUUUCCCAUAUGUGACCCUCAGGGUCUCCCUACCACAUCUUUGUGCUAAAGGGCCUCUCUUCUGAGGAACUCAAAGCCUGGUGCAGACAUUAUCUAAUUCCUCUUCACAACAUGGCCUAAAGAUUGAUCUCCACUACCCUGAUCUCCAAAGGCACUUGGAAUUUCAGGGGUUCUGUUCCUGCUUUUAGGACUUCUUCUGUUCUAGACAACCCACAGAAGAAUUUGCAAAAGUUCCUACCUGCUUUAGUCACAAGAGAUCUAGUAUCCAGGGGUAGUUCCCUUCCCAAAACACUGAACAGGACAACCUCAUUUACCUGCCAAGAAAACCCCAAAUGGGGUCAUGAAGAGUUGGACACAACUGAAAUGACUGAAAAACAACAUGCGCAUAUUCAACUAUAAUAUAUCUAUCAUUGCCUUUUUCUCACUACCUAGAACAAUACUCUAUACACAGCAGGCACUUAUCAAGUUGUAUGAUAUUGUUUAAACUGCUGACAAUAGAUAACAAAUGUUUUGAUUUGGUGCCUUGAAUUAUAAAGUCACUGAACUUCAGGUUAGAUACAUUAACUCACCUAACUCAACAAUUUAAUAAAGAGGGCAUAGGGUCAGACCA